rnacentral:rRNA from 1 species
GAAUGCUGACAUAAGUAACGAUAAAGCGGGUGAAAAGCCCGCUCGCCGGAAGACCAAGGGUUCCUGUCCAACGUUAAUCGGGGCAGGGUGAGUCGACCCCUAAGGCGAGGCCGAAAGGCGUAGUCGAUGGGAAACAGGUUAAUAUUCCUGUACUUGGUGUUACUGCGAAGGGGGGACGGAGAAGGCUAUGUUGGCCGGGCGACGGUUGUCCCGGUUUAAGCGUGUAGGCUGGUUUUCCAGGCAAAUCCGGAAAACCAAGGCUGAGGCGUGAUGACGAGGCACUACGGUGCUGAAGCGACAAAUGCCCUGCUUCCAGGAAAAGCCUCUAAGCAUCAGGUAACAUCAAAUCGUACCCCAAACCGACACAGGUGGUCAGGUAGAGAAUACCAAGGCGCUUGAGAGAACUCGGGUGAAGGAACUAGGCAAAAUGGUGCCGUAACUUCGGGAGAAGGCACGCUGAUAUGUAGGUGAAGCGACUUGCUCGUGGAGCUGAAAUCAGUCGAAGAUACCAGCUGGCUGCAACUGUUUAUUAAAAACACAGCACUGUGCAAACACGAAAGUGGACGUAUACGGUGUGACGCCUGCCCGGUGCCGGA